rnacentral:lncRNA from 12 species
UGCUUAGAAGAGCCCAGGUGGGGUGUGUUAGGGGGACACGGAGCUGCCUGUCCCCUCAGGCCCCUUUCUGUGCUGUCCCCAAGGUGGGAUCUCCUCCCCUCCAAGUGCCCCAGGAUCUACAAGGGACCCCUCGGAACAGCCCCCGGGGCUCUCGGACUAUGAUGAUGUCGGCAGCAGCGCCCUGGAGACGGCGCCAUGAGGAUUCCCUGGCCAUGCCCCAGCCCUGGGGACAUGUGUGUGACAAUGUGGGCCUGGCUGAAGGCGUCCGUGCUCAGCCUGGGCAUGGAGGAGGCAGGAGAAGAGGAGAAGGUGUGAGAUGUUGUGGGAGGGAGGUGCUGAAGCAGCCGCGAUGCCGCUGCUGCCCUGCCUGUCCCGCAGCAUCCUCUCCCCAGCUCGGCAGUGGCGGGCGUGGCAGGGGCCGUGGCAGGGCCUGAGCCCAGGCUCCGCAGCGGGCAGGCGGGAUGCCGGAGCUGCCGGCAGCGCUGCAGGACGCCGUGGGCUCCCAGCUCGUUGUCACUCAGGUGCGGGCAGCUGAGACGGGGCCCCUGCAGCAGCAGGCGCCCGACAGCCGGCAGCUGCCCGGCCUGUGGCACCGAGGGAAACGGGCCAGGAGGGCUUUGGCCUCUGCUCGGGGAGCUGCUGCAGCUGGCAAGGGCGGAGCAGUGGCUGAGGCCGUGGCUGCAGCAGCAGGGGCUGCUGAGGCGCUGUAAAGUUCGGUUCCACGUUGCUCUGAUCUGCCUCAUCACCAUCAUCACAGGCUGAGACCCUGGACCCCACCACUCACUCUGGACCUGAGUUCUGGCCUGGCCGAGGUGGAUUUUUGCCAAGGGACUGUUUGUAGGUGUGCCUGGUGCUUGCCAUGGUACACUGCUCUCCAGCAGGGUACUGGUUAUAGCGCCGUGUUCCAGCACCUGUUCCAUGGAGCAAUGAUCUCCGCAUACAAUUGUCCAUAAAUCUCCCCACCUUUUGGCCAGAG